AGUGAACGCUGGCGGUAGGCCUAACACAUGCAAGUCGAACGGCAGCACAGUAAGAGCUUGCUCUUACGGGUGGCGAGUGGCGGACGGGUGAGGAAUACAUCGGAAUCUACUUUUUCGUGGGGGAUAACGUAGGGAAACUUACGCUAAUACCGCAUACGACCUACGGGUGAAAGCAGGGGAUCUUCGGACCUUGCGCGAUUGAAUGAGCCGAUGUCGGAUUAGCUAGUUGGCGGGGUAAAGGCCCACCAAGGCGACGAUCCGUAGCUGGUCUGAGAGGAUGAUAAGCCAAAAUGGAACUGAGACACGGUCCAGACUACUACGGGAGGCAGCAGUGGGGAAUAUUGGACAAGGGGAGCAAGCCUGAUCCAGACAUACCGCGUGGGUGAAGAAGGCCUUCGGGUUGUAAAGCCCUUUUGUUGGGAAAGAAAAGCAGCAGGUUAAUACCCCGCUGUUCUGACGGUACCCAAAGAAUAAGCACCGGCUAACUUCGUG
rnacentral:rRNA from 1 species